rnacentral:tRNA from 1 species
GCGCCUAUAGCUCAGAGAGCAGAGCGCCGCCCUGAAAACGCGGAGGUCGGAGGUGCGAAGCCUCCUGGGCGCA